rnacentral:rRNA from 1 species
GAUGAACGCUAGCGGCAGGCCUAACACAUGCAAGUCGAGGGGUAGAGGAAGCUUGCUUCCUUGAGACCGGCGCACGGGUGCGUAACGCGUAUGCAAUCUACCUUUUACAGAGGAAUAGCCCAGAGAAAUUUGGAUUAAUACCUCAUAGUAUAUAUCAUUCGCAUGUUUGGUAUAUUAAAGUUCCAACGGUAAAAGAUGAGCAUGCGUCCCAUUAGUUAGUUGGUAAGGUAACGGCUUACCAAGACGAUGAUGGGUAGGGGUCCUGAGAGGGAGAUCCCCCACACUGGUACUGAGACACGGACCAGACUCCUACGGGAGGCAGCAGUGAGGAAUAUUGGUCAAUGGACGCAAGUCUGAACCAGCCAUGCCGCGUGCAGGAAGACGGUCCUAUGGAUUGUAAACUGCUUUUGUACGGGAAGAAACACUCCUACGUGUAGGAGCCUGACGGUACCGUAAGAAUAAGGAUCGGCUAACUCCGUGCCAGCCGCCGCUGUAAUAC